rnacentral:misc_RNA from 1 species
UCCUCCCUCAAACCUCGUGUUUGGUGUUGGACCGCGUUGGUCGAGCGGCCAACUGGUCUUAAAGACAAUGACGGCGUCCGUGGGACCCUCGGUGCAACGAGCUUUUAACGAGCACGCGUCGAGUUUCAAGGACCCUCCGGGCCGGUCUUGACCUCUAUCUUCUUA